rnacentral:misc_RNA from 1 species
AACAUAGGCUGGUUAUUGUUCUCCAAUGCGGAUGCGUUUGUCGCGGUUCAGUGGCGGCGGCGGUGGAGCGGCGGGGACGUGCAUGAUUUCGGGCUCCGGAGCAGGACC